GCUAACAGCCAUAUCACCCUGUAGCCCAAGACUGGUCACCCACUGAAGCCAAGCAGGGUUGAGCCUGGUCAGUACCUGGAUGGGAGACCUCCUCCUGGGAAAACUAGGUUGCUGCUGGAA
rnacentral:rRNA from 1 species